rnacentral:rRNA from 1 species
AAAUAGGAGGAGUUCUCAGCCCCAUCUAUGGUGCGCCAAGGAUAUAGCGCUCCCUUCUGAGACAUUACCGCUGCUCGCUCCCUCGCCUUAUCUAACGUGGCAUAACGAAACUCGAGCAGCUUCCGGCUAAUUUCCGGCUGUGUAAACGUAAAGAAGGGUAUCAUGUACAUCUCGGUAUCCCAGAAAUAGUGACCUUCGUAUCCUUCACCCGUCAGGCCUUUGGCUCCGAUGUUCGUAACCCCGUCACGUCCUACGGAUUGCAGCAAUUGAAAAGCAUUAAAGCGAAUACCCUGUUGAAGCGCAGGAUCGCCCUGAAUCUCCACAUCGGUAUGUGCCCAGAAAUGAUCCAAAUAAGCCCGUUGUUCAUAAACAAGAGCUUCAAAUCCACUAUUCUCCGCUAAAUGCAGCACUUCCAAGCACUUACUUAACAGCUCGUCUUCUAUGUAAUCCUUAGAGGUGUGAUACGAAAUGUAUUUGGUCAGGGAGAUCCUUUCCCCCAUAGCCACUGGAACAACCCAUUGCAUAGAUAAUCGCUGGCCCUCUAGCUGCACGAGUCUUUCAUAUCCAGAGCUACUGUCCAGACUGUGGCUUAUCCCUGUUAAAAGAGCAAACUGGGUAUACCGUGUCCGCUGCUUCAUCCACAAAAAGGACUGCUCCAGUUCAUGACCGGUAUCCACGAGCAGCAAACUGGGUUCCUUACUCCCCGAACCAAGCCGGGGGUCAUCCGUCACCCCCGGCCUUUGAAUCUCACCAUCAAUCGAUGAAGUGAAUGUUAGGUGCCCCUCAAAAUUCAAUGCCUUGACCUCGUAAUCUAUGGCCGCUAAAUGUUUAUGCUGCAAGGCCACCAUCCGCCGAAUGCUCACCUGUACCCUGUG